UCUGGAGGAAGAAGGAGGAGGAAAGCCCUGGGGCUGCUCCAACACAGCAACCUGAAGAGGUGCAGCAGGUGCAGCCCCCGCAGGAGGAUGCAGACCAGGAGCGGACAGAAGAGCAGCUCCGUGCCCGUGGCCGCUUCCACAGGGCAGCACAGACAUUUAUGAAAUUUGUGGGCAGUCGGCGUAGACAGUCC